rnacentral:rRNA from 1 species
CUUACAGGGUAUGCUUAGUACGGCGAGUGAAGCGGCAAAAGCUCAAAUUUGAAAUCUGGCACCUUCGGUGUCCGAGUUGUAAUUUGAAGAAGGUAACUUUGGAGUUGGCUCUUGUCUAUGUUCCUUGGAACAGGACGUCACAGAGGGUGAGAAUCCCGUGCGAUGAGAUGCCCAAUUCUAUGUAAAGUGCUUUCGAAGAGUCGAGUUGUUUGGGAAUGCAGCUCUAAGUGGGUGGUAAAUUCCAUCUAAAGCUAAAUAUUGGCGAGAGACCGAUAGCGAACAAGUACAGUGAUGGAAAGAUGAAAAGAACUUUGAAAAGAGAGUGAAAAAGUACGUGAAAUUGUUGAAAGGGAAGGGCUUGAGAUCAGACUUGGUAUUUUGCGAUCCUUUCCUUCUUGGUUGGGUUCCUCGCAGCUUACUGGGCCAGCAUCGGUUUGGAUGGUAGGAUAAUGACUAAGGAAUGUGGCUCUACUUCGGUGGAGUGUUAUAGCCUUGGUUGAUACUGCCUGUCUAGACCGAGGACUGCGUCUUUUGACUAGGAUGUUGGCAUAAUGAUCUUAAGCCACCCGUCUUGAAUA